GGUGUAGACCACAUGUAGACGUGGUGCAGGUGUAGACCACAUGCAGACCUGGUGUAGACCACAUGCAGAACUGGUGCAGACCACAUGCAGACGUGGUGCAGGUGUAGACCACAUGUAGACGUGGUGCAGGUGAAGACCA